UACGUAGGGCGCAAGCGUUGUCCGGAAUUAUUGGGCGUAAAGAGCUCGUAGGUGGCCUGUCGCGUCGGCUGUGAAAACUCGGGGCUCAACUCCGAGCUUGCAGUCGAUACGGGCAGGCUAGAGUUCGGCAGGGGAGACUGGAAUUCCUGGUGUAGCGGUGAAAUGCGCAGAUAUCAGGAGGAACACCGGUGGCGAAGGCGGGUCUCUGGGCCGAUACUGACACUGAGAAGCGAAAGCGUGGGGAGCGAACAGG
rnacentral:rRNA from 1 species